AAGAAUAAUAAGCAAAAAUCCUUACCUUACAUUUCUGCAACGCACCCUGAUGCUUUCAUAGCCGUCCUGUACAGAAGCUGCAGCAAGUGGGAAGCAGGCAAAGUCUUAGCUCUUCAAUGGUUGUGAAAGUCUGGUGAUAUCAUUUUGGAGCAAUUGGACUUUAAAAGAAAAUAUCUGAGAAACUAGUGGAGUUUGAAAAGACCACAAACUGCCUUCAAGGAAUUUGGACUGAGGACAUCUUCAAGGCCAUGAUCCAAAUCCUGCUCUCACUCGCAUAGGCUAGGGACAGACAUCCAAAAAGCCUGAGCCUAAAUGGAUUCACUCUUUGCAGCAGCCCAUCCCACUGAGCUUCCUGACUGAAGUCUCCACCAGCAGCUCGGGAAGCCCUGGCCAGGACCUGCUUUGCUAGCUCCACAGCCCCAGGCCCAGCCAUGAGGUGUGGCCAGCCAUGACACCACCGGCCAUCAGCAGUGCCAGCUUCUCUCCAGGGAAGGACCCUGCCUGGGCAUCUGCACACCACACCACACUACACCCCACCAUCCAAGGACACCAGCUAGAGCCACAUUUCAUUGCUGACAGCCAGGAUCAAGUGGAGCCACCAAUGUGAGGGGAAUAAAAACUUGA